ACUCCCUAACAGGCAGUUUCUAACACAUUUCUAAUAUAGAGAUGAUUAGCACGGCCCCUGUGCGAGGAUGACACGCAAAUUCGUGAAGCAUACCAUGUUUUU